AUUGAACGCUGGCGGCAGGCUUAACACAUGCAAGUCGAGCGGAGCGAGGGUGCUUGCACCUUAGCUUAGCGGCGGACGGGUGAGUAAUGCUUAGGAAUCUGCCUAUUAGUGGGGGACAACAUUCCGAAAGGAAUGCUAAUACCGCAUACGCCCUACGGGGGAAAGCAGGGGAUCUUCGGACCUCGCGCUAAUAGAUGAGCCUAAGUCGGAUUAGCUAGUUGGUGGGGUAAAGGCCUACCAAGGCGACGAUCUGUAGCGGGUCUGAGAGGAUGAUCCGCCACACUGGGACUGAGACACGGCCCAGACUCCUACGGGAGGCAGCAGUGGGGAAUAUUGGACAAUGGGCGGAAGCCUGAUCCAGCCAUGCCGCGUGUGUGAAGAAGGCCUUUUGGUUGUAAAGCACUUUAAGCGAGGAGGAGGCUACUUAGAUUAAUACUCUAGGGUAGUGGACGUUACUCGCAGAAUAAGCACCGGCUAACUCUGUGCCAGCCGCCGCGGUAAUAC
rnacentral:rRNA from 1 species